rnacentral:rRNA from 1 species
GACGAACGCUGGCGGCGUGCUUAACACAUGCAAGUCGAACGGAAAGGCCCCUUCGGGGGUGCUCGAGUGGCGAACGGGUGAGUAACACGUGGGUGAUCUGCCCUGCACUUUGGGAUAAGCCUGGGAAACUGGGUCUAAUACCGAAUACACCUUCCUGGUUGCAUGGCUGGGUGGGGAAAGCUUUUGCGGUGUGGGAUGGGCCCGCGGCCUAUCAGCUUGUUGGUGGAGUGAUGGCCUACCAAGGCGACGACGGGUAGCCGGCCUGAGAGGGUGUCCGGCCACACUGGGACUGAGAUACGGCCCAGACUCCUACGGGAGGCAGCAGUGGGGAAUAUUGCACAAUGGGCGCAAGCCUGAUGCAGCGACGCCGCGUGAGGGAUGACGGCCUUCGGGUUGUAAACCUCUUUCAAUAGGGACGAAGCGCAAGUGACGGUACCUAUAGAAGAAGCACCGGCCAACUACGUGCCAGCCGCCGCCGUAA